rnacentral:misc_RNA from 1 species
GUGAUUGUAAAUUGUCUUACCUUCAGUGCUGGCUUUGUCUUAGCAUGUGCACGCUGGGAGGGCAUAUUUAUCCAUCCAAUACCCUUUUGUGAACCUCUGGCCUUCACCAGCUUCGGCUGGUAGAGGAAUUUUACACCCUCACGAAUGUAAUGAGAUAAACCCUUGUUGUGCAAUAGCACUACAAAAAUA